rnacentral:rRNA from 1 species
GUGGGGAAUCUUGCGCAAUGGGCGAAAGCCUGACGCAGCCAUGCCGCGUGAAUGAUGAAGGUCUUAGGAUUGUAAAAUUCUUUCACCGGGGACGAUAAUGACGGUACCCGGAGAAGAAGCCCCGGCUAACUUCGUGCCAGCAGCCGCGGUAAUACGAAGGGGGCUAGCGUUGCUCGGAAUUACUGGGCGUAAAGGGCGCGUAGGCGGACAGUUUAGUCAGAGGUGAAAGCCCAGGGCUCAACCUUGGAAUUGCCUUUGAUACUGGCUGUCUUGAGUACGGGAGAGGUGAGUGGAACGCCGAGUGUAGAGGUGAAAUUCGUAGAUAUUCGGAAGAACACCAGUGGCGAAGGCGACUCACUGGCCCGUUACUGACGCUGAGGCGCGAAAGCGUGGGGAGCAAACAGGAUUAGAUACCCUUGUAGUCC